rnacentral:rRNA from 1 species
UACGAAGGGGGCUAGCGUUGUUCGGAAUUACUGGGCGUAAAGCGCGCGUAGGCGGCCAUUCAAGUCAGGGGUGAAAGCCCAGAGCUCAACUCUGGAACUGCCCUUGAAACUGUAUGGCUUGAGUAUGAGAGAGGUGAGUGGAAUUCCCAGUGUAGAGGUGAAAUUCGUAGAUAUUGGGAAGAACACCGGUGGCGAAGGCGGCUCACUGGCUCAUUACUGACGCUCAGGCGCGACAGCGUGGGGAUCAAACAGG